rnacentral:rRNA from 1 species
AUGCUCGUGGAGAUAAAAUGCAGCACUCAGGAUGAAGCUGUCAGGUUUCAGUAACCCGCGUGUUGUCUCGAAGAGCGAUAUGCCCUCGUCGACGCGGCCGUGCAAAAGGUACGCCCUCAUCAUUGCCCGGCAACAGGCCAAAUCAACAGCCACACCAGUCUCCUGCAUCUGGCAGCAGAUCCUCUGGGCUUCAUCAAUCUGGCCUUCCUUCAGAAAUGCGAAAAUGAGGUGGCUGAAAUGAGGGCAUGAAGGGGUUAUGCCCUGAUCAAUGCGAUGUACGUCGUCGAGUCGGAAACGUGA